UGUUCAGAGGGAGGUUCUACUGCUGUGUGGGUGAGGACGUAAGAAACAUCACCAACAAGACUGAAUGCCUGGCGGCCAGCUACCUCUGGGUACGAAAGACUUACAACUUUUACAACCUGCUUCAGGCUCUGACGAGCUUGUUUGUAAUGUUCUCUAAAGAUGGCUGGAUGAACAUCAUGUAUGAUGGGCUGGAUGCUGUGGGAGUGGACCAACAGUGUAAUGGUGGAGACCUUCCACCAGUGUCAGCAGAAUCAAAAAAAAAAGAGAUGGAGAGUUACUUGAAGAGGGAGGAAAAGUCCAGUGCAACAGUAAGGAGAAUGAAGGGGCUUGUUGGCAGUCUAUUUAUCUGAGCAU